CUUUAAAAGGUGUUAAACUAUUUGAAACGGGUAGAAUAUUUGUGUGAUAAUUCGGUGUGUUUAGAUAAACAACUUUAAAAAGGUCGAUGGCACAGGAAUGCAAGAGAGACAGAGACCAUAAGUCACCCAUCAAAAUCCAAAAACCGCUGAUCACAACACAGUUACACUACCAAACAGCAAAACAAAUUUGGUGUGUGCAAAAUCCAACCACAACAACGAAACCCCUCCAAAAUCUAAAACUGUGAAUGCAAACAAACAAUCCAAGCGAGUGAAAAAAUGCUACUCCAUUCCGUGCUUUCUCUCUCUCCCUAUCCAUCUUUCGUUUCCAAUUUCGCCCUCGUUGGAGCAACUUCGCUCCUCGUCGCGCCGUCCAGCGCACUGCUGCGGUUUCCGGCGGCGACGAGUUCACCGCGAAGUCCGGGUGAUUUUAGUAGAGCUUUUCAAAUGUUGAGUGCAUAAGUUUAUUUUAGUUUAAGGCAUAUAUUAAAAUUGCCCAGGCUAUAUCAUCUCGUGCUGUUUGUGAAUUCAACAGGUGUGGUUGCUACCUAUGCCUUAUAACUUCAAUACCAGUUGAUAGGGAGUUAUUUAUUUUUCUAUGAACUCAGUUUUUGGGGAGUGAGGCAUAGUACAUGUUGCCUAUAUGGUACCCUGCAAUCUUGUAUCUAUCUGCUUGUGUAUGUUAUAUUUUGAAGUUCGAUAUUGCAUUGGUUUAUUAAUUAUGGAUUCCUAUAUAUGCAGGCUGUUGUUGAUGAGUUGGCAUUAAGUCACUUCCAGUAUGUAUUGUUUUCUUGUAUUUUCACUAUAAUGAUGUUCUAGAUAGCGUA